UGUUCUGUGGCUUAGUUGGUUAAAGUGCCGGUCUAGCGAAAGUCGUGGGUUCGAAUCCCAGCAGAACGC
rnacentral:tRNA from 1 species